UGUGGUGAAGCCCUGCAGACACAACCUCCA
rnacentral:piRNA from 1 species